AGUGAACGCUGGCGGUAGGCCUAACACAUGCAAGUCGAACGGCAGCACAGGAGAGCUUGCUCUCUGGGUGGCGAGUGGCGGACGGGUGAGGAAUACAUCGGAAUCUACUUUUUCGUGGGGGAUAACGUAGGGAAACUUACGCUAAUACCGCAUACGACCUACGGGUGAAAGUAGGGGACCUUCGGGCCUCGCGCGAUUGAAUGAGCCGAUGUCGGAUUAGCUAGUUGGCGGGGUAAAGGCCCACCAAGGCGACGAUCCGUAGCUGGUCUGAGAGGAUGAUCAGCCACACUGGAACUGAGACACGGUCCAGACUCCUACGGGAGGCAGCAGUGGGGACUAUUGGACAAUGGGCGCAAGCCUGAUCCAGCCAUACCGCGUGGGUGAAGAAGGCCUUCGGGUUGUAAAGCCCUUUUGUUGGGAAAGAAAUCCAGCUGGCUAAUACCCGGUUGGGAUGACGGUACCCAAAGAAUAAGCACCGGCUAACUUCGUGCCAGCAGCCGCCGUAA
rnacentral:rRNA from 1 species